GCCCGAAACGUCAAUUUUCCUGCUCCUCGGAUGCUGCCUGACCUGCUGUGCUUUUUCAGCAACACACUCUCAGCACCUACAGAUCAACUGAGCCUUGCUUCUGGGUUUAAUUCUUCGUCCCCUGAAGAGAUAGUAGGAUUGGAUCCUGCACCUUCUGCACAGGCACUAAAACCAGUCAGCUUUUAUUUUUCCAAAUUGAACUCUCAUGCUCUCUGUUUGUUAAACGUGAAUGUUUGAUGGGGCUCUCCACACUGAGUAUCCCAUCUGUAUUACAUGUGAAUUGAAAGCAUAGGGUAAUCAUAAAACUUGCUUGUUUAAUGCUAAAAUAAGGACAACUCUGACACUUUUAAACUCAGUGACAUCUAUAAGCUAGUUCCCUCAAGUAUGUUCUGAAAAAUGUAGAAAAAAAUAAUCUGGACAAAGGUUUUUUGAAAAAAAUCCAUGUACUAUUCCUGUGAAGACACUAACUCGUGUUGGGAUAUAGCCUCCUGGGUACGCGCUAACCUGGAGGUGAUUAUUUCCAGGUGUUAGAAUAUCCACAUGCAGCUUGACCUAGGACACCCCGACUUAACAUUUGCAAAUGCAGUUUCCAGCAGGGAUUAUUCGGUGGUGAGCAGUGUUGAAAACUUAUGUUUCUUUUUGUAGUCGACCUACUGGUGCCCUGGCCCAGCUGAGGUCUGAUAACUCAGUUUAGUGUGAGGAUUGAACCCAGGGAGUUUUGGUCCACAUGAAUGAGUUCCUUAUUGAGUGUGUCCUUACUAAUAAACUGUGUGAAGAGUACAGAAGGGUAGGCAGCCUGUGAUGUGACGUUGUGAUGCCAUGACACACACUACUGUGCCUGGCUGAAAUGCAUCAGACUCUCCUGGCAUAGCACACUAUCUCUCUUAUACACAGUUAGGAUGAUGUUGGAAAGACUUACUUAGAUACACACACACACACACACACACACACACACACACACACACCCAAUAUUACCAGAGGGUUUUGGGCAGUGUACCCUCACCUGUUUGGCAGUUCCUUUUACAGGAAAAACACAACUCUGAUUUGCUGGUAACUUUUUGGUGUCUUAGCUGAAACAAUAUCUUGUUUCUUUGAGACUCUCACUGUCCUGGUAUUCAGUUUUCAUCUCCAACUUCCCAACUCUGUUUUCAUAUCUAGCAAUGUGCUGGACAGAAUUAGCAUUACAAUCUGUUUUUUAAACUAUUAUAAGUCAAUUGAAGAACUUGAAAAUCUUUCAUUAAAUGCUUUACAUAUUAUUAUUCAUGUUGUUGCAGUUUCUCCCCAGCUUAACUACUGUUUACAGAAUUGGGAAGCCAAUUGGAGCUUAGUAGGAUUUGCAAGUGAUGGUGAAUGGGGAACCUCCUAUAUUACCACAUUACCAAAAGGAUGUGGAUGCUCUGGUGAAGGUGCAGAGGAGGUUUACGAGGAUGUUGCCUGGUAUGGAGGGUGCUAGCUAUGAAGAGUGGUUGAAUAGAUUAGGAUUAUUUUCAUUAGAAAAACGGAGGUUGAAGGGAGACCUGAUUGAGGUCUACAAUAUCAUGAGAGGUAUAGACAGGGUGGAUAGCAAGAUGUUUUUUUCCCAGAGUGGGGGAAUCCAUUAUGGGUUAUGAGUUCAAAGUGAGAGGGGAAAGGUUUAGGGGAGAUAUGCGUGAAAAGUUCUUUAUGCAGAGAGUGAUGGGGGCCUGGAACGUGUUGCCAACGGAGGUGGGAAUGAUAGACGAUACAUGAAUGGGAUUGGAGCAAAAAGGAUACAGAUCUUUAUAAAAUAGGCAGCAGGUUUAGAUAGAGGAGCUGGAUUGGUGCAGGCUUGAAGGGCAGAAGGCCCUGUUCCGUGCUGUAGUUUUCUUUGUUCUUUGUAUAGAUUUGUUAGAAAACAGGAAUGGAAAAAGAAAGAAAUCUAAAAUACUACAAAUUAUACCCAAAACCAUGGAACAAGAACUGAAGAAGGGCUAAGGUGUGGCAUAUAUUGGAAGAUUCUUUGAGGAUGUCAAACACUUAGAUUCAUACAACACAGAAAAGAACCUUUGGCUCAUUGAGUCUGACUGGUCUUGGGAUAACGUAUUUAAAAGGUUUGGCAUCAAUGAAGAAGCACACUGUGAUGAGGAUCUGCACUUUUUUUUCUUGGUAAAUUGACUAAAAAUGGUUCAAUGAUCUUGUCAAUAUCCACUUUGUGUUCCAGUACUGGAGUGAUCUUAAACAUGGAGAAGAUUGGGGGUGAGCGGGAGAAGGGGAGGAUAAACUGGUCAUUUAGCUGCUCCUAAUUGUCAUCUGGUGAACCCUGGACGGUAAGCGGGCAAGUAGAUGUUAGAUACCAGAUUCUUCCUCCUCUCCACACCACCCCUCCCCUUUCUCCACCACCCCCCAAGUCAAAUAUUUAUUCACACUCAUUCUCUAGCCUAGCCUUUGAGGUGAAGCUUGGAGGUCACCUACUCUAGCCAGUGCCUUGAGACCACUGCAGGAAUGAUCACCACCUUCUGAAGUGGAGGAGAGUUAAGAUUCUGUUGAAAUUGCUUCCAACAGGAAUUGUUGGCAUACUGUCUUCCAAAGAUGUGGCAGUACUGGGUGAGAUUUGAACUGCUUUAAAACUAACCACUUGCAUGGAGUUAAAAUCAGACUCCGUGCUCAGCAUCUGAAUCCUCCCAAGUUGCAUAAAACAAAUAUUGUUUUCCCUUGCUGAAAAAGUUUAGGAUGUUGUUUUACACAUGUAUCAAUUUUCAGAGAUUAAAUAAAAUGUUUCUGAAAUUGCAA